AACAGGAUUAGAUACCCUGGUAGUCCAUGCCGUAAACGAUGAUUGCUAAGUGUUGGAGGGUUUCCGCCCUUCAGUGCUGCAGCUAACGCAUUAAGUAAUCCGCCUGGGGAGUACGACCGCAAGGUUGAAACUCAAAAGAAUUGACGGGGGCCCGCACAAGCGGUGGAGCAUGUGGUUUAAUUCGAAGCUACGCGAAGAACCUUACCAGGUCUUGACAUCUUCUGCCAACCUAAGAGAUUAGGCGUUCCCUUCGGGGACAGAAUGACAGGUGGUGCAUGGUUGUCGUCAGCUCGUGUCGUGAGAUGUUGGGUUAAGUCCCGCAACGAGCGCAACCCUUAUUACUAGUUGCCAGCAUUCAGUUGGGCACUCUAGUGAGACUGCCGGUGACAAACCGGAGGAAGGUGGGGACGACGUCAAAUCAUCAUGCCCCUUAUGACCUGGGCUACACACGUGCUACAAUGGAUGGUACAACGAGUCGCGAAACCGCGAGGUUUAGCUAAUCUCUUAAAACCAUUCUCAGUUCGGACUGUAGGCUGCAACUCGCCUACACGAAGUCGGAAUCGCUAGUAAUCGCGGAUCAGCAUGCCGCGGUGAAUACGUUCCCGGGCCUUGUACACACCGCCCGUCACACCAUGAGAGUUUGUAACACCCAAAGCCGGUGGGGUAACCUUUUAGGAGCUAGCCGUCUAAGGUGGGACAGAUGAUUAGGGUGAAGUCGUAACAAGGUAACC
rnacentral:rRNA from 1 species